rnacentral:rRNA from 1 species
UACGUAGGGCGCAAGCGUUGUCCGGAAUUAUUGGGCGUAAAGAGCUCGUAGGCGGUUUGUUGCGUCGGCUGUGAAAUCCCGAGGCUCAACCUCGGGUCUGCAGUCGAUACGAGCAAACUAGAGUGUUGCAGGGGAGACUGGAAUUCCUGGUGUAGCGGUGAAAUGCGCAGAUAUCAGGAGGAACACCGGUGGCGAAGGCGGGGUCUCUGG